CUCUGCAUGCUGUCCCUCAUUACUGUGAUCCAGUCACAGUCUCUUCACUCAGCUUCUAGUCCAAGCCUGAAGUCUAUUUAUCCCCAUUCCUGUUUCUUGCAGCCUACAUCCUCCAUUUUCAGAAUCACUGGUUUAACACAAUUCUCAGUCUGUCUACAAAUGAAUCCAGGAGAGCUGACUGAUUGAGAAAAUCUAAGAUUACAACCUCAACGGAUUUCAAUCGGACUGAAACCCUCCUCAUUUGGAACACUGAACACCAAGUGGGUAGCUACUAGCAUCGGUCAUGUCUGAUGUAGUCUGAGUUUGAACCAAGUGAUCAGGUACGUAAUAAUGUGAGAUAAGACACCUGAAAGAAGAUGGUGAGGCAGCUAAGAAACCAAGAAUUCAAACUGAAGUAACUGACCUACCUUGAAGGUGUCUAUUGCACCAAACAUCUUCUUUGGAGGGACAAGCAAAUCCAUGAAAUCUAGCUACUCUGAAGGAAGCUAAUGGAUAUGUCUGGAGAAAUUAAAAGACUUCUUACAGUACAGGCCCCUUGCUUCACCAAGAGCCAACUUCUUAGGUCAUGUGGAAUAUUUCAGCUUUCCACAAGUUAAGGUUUCUGCAUCAAACAGAAACUGGAACAGAUAUUUUACAAAAUCACCAUCUCCUAUACCAUUGCUACUGAAAAAGGUUACACACAACUCGGAAACAUGGAAAGGAUGAAACAAGUUGAAGAUCCUAUUUUCCUACUGCAGUGUCUAAAAAUUCCUCUGGGAUCAAAGCAGCAACCACAGUUUGGGUUAACAUCCAUCAUUUACUUUGGAAUGGAAGGCUGAGAAAAAGGCAUGGGAAUAUUCAUGUUUUAAAAAUAUACUCUACAAAUUCUUGAUUUGGUUGAGGGAGAUAAA